rnacentral:rRNA from 1 species
CCUACGGGUGGCAGCAGUGAGGAAUAUUGGUCAAUGGUCGGGAGACUGAACCAGCCAAGCCGCGUGAGGGAUGAAGGUACAGAGUAUCGUAAACCUCUUUUGUCAGGGAACAAAGGCGGGGACGUGUCCCCGGAUGAGUGUACCUGAAGAAAAAGCAUCGGCUAACUCCGUGCCAGCAGCCGCGGUAAUACGGAGGAUGCGAGCGUUAUCCGGAUUUAUUGGGUUAAAGGGGUCGGCAGGCGGUCUGUUAAGUCAGCGGUCAAAGCCCGGGGCUCAACCCCGGCCCGCCGUUGAAACUGGCAGUCUCGAGUUGGAGAGAAGUAUGCGGAAUGCGCGGUGUAGCGGUGAAAUGCAUAGAUAUCACGCAGAACUCCGAUUGCGAAGGCAGCUUACUAAGCCAUAACUGACACUGAAGCACGAAAGCGUGGGGAUCAAACAGGAUUAGAUACCCGGGUAGUC